rnacentral:rRNA from 1 species
AGUGAACGCUGGCGGUAGGCCUAACACAUGCAAGUCGAACGGCAGCACAGUAAGAGCUUGCUCUUACGGGUGGCGAGUGGCGGACGGGUGAGGAAUACAUCGGAAUCUACUUUUUCGUGGGGGAUAACGUAGGGAAACUUACGCUAAUACCGCAUACGACCUACGGGUGAAAGCAGGGGAUCUUCGGACCUUUCGCGAUUGAAUGAGCCGAUGUCGGAGUAGCUAGUUGGCGGGGUAAAGGCCCACCAAGGCGACGAUCCGUAGCUGGUCUGAGAGGAUGAUCAGCCACACUGGAACUGAGACACGGUCCAGACUCCUACGGGAGGCAGCAGUGGGGAAUAUUGGGCAAUGGGCGAAAGCCUGAUCCAGCAAUACCGCGUGAGUGAAGAAGGUCUUCGGGUUGUAAAGCCCUUUUGUUGGGAAAGAAAAGCAGCAGGUUAAUACCCCGAUGUUCUGACGGUACCCAAAGAAUAAGCACCGGCUAACUUCGUG